GUCAACUUUUAUAAGGAGAGCUAUUCUAGCAUAGUACAUAAAUAAAAUACAACCGUGGUGAAAUACGUCUUAAUUAUAACCAGUUACAUGCUUUAAUACUUAAAUGUUAAUAAUAAACAAGGAUUAGAGACCCUUCUAUAUAAACACAACUUGAUUCUGCUGAGUACUACAACUUUAAAAGUUAAAACUCAAACAACAUGGCGGUAAUUUCUAUUUAGGGGAACUUACUUAAUAAAUGAUAACCACCAAGGUAAGUAACUUUAGGACAAUUUUGUAUGCCGUCGUCAUCAGAUAACACUUGAUGUUUUAUCUUAAUAAUACAACUUAAAAAGACAGAUCAAGGUGCAGACAACCCUAAAGAUAAAGCGAGUUACAAUUACAAUUAUUAACAGACAUAUCAUGUUAAUGUAAUAUUAAAGAAGGACUUAAUAGUAAUGUGUAUUACCAAUACCACAUGAACUCUAGGGAUUGUGCACAA
rnacentral:rRNA from 1 species